UACGAAGGGGGCUAGCGUUGUUCGGAUUUACUGGGCGUAAAGCGCACGUAGGCGGAUCGUUAAGUCGGGGGUGAAAUCCUGGAGCUCAACUCCAGAACUGCCUUCGAUACUGGCGAUCUCGAGUCCGGAAGAGGUGAGUGGAACUCCUAGUGUAGAGGUGGAAUUCGUAGAUAUUAGGAAGAACACCAGUGGCGAAGGCGACGCACUGGUCCGAUACUGACGCUGAGGUGCGAAAGCGUGGGGAGCAAACAGG
rnacentral:rRNA from 1 species